rnacentral:misc_RNA from 1 species
ACCUUAAAGAACCUGCCUUUGCAGUGCUCACACAGAUUGUCUGAUGAAAAACAGCAGUAAAAAACCUCUACAGGCUUGUAGCUCAGGUGGUUAGAGCGCACCCCUGAUAAGGGUGAGGUCGGUGGUUCAAGUCCACUCAGGCCUACCAAAUUUGCGAAGCAAAUUUGAAGAGGUUGUUUAUACGAUGGGGCUAUAGCUCAGCUGGGAGAGCGCCUGCCUUGCACGCAGGAGGUCUGCGGUUCGAUCCCGCAUAGCUCCACCAUCUUUUACUGCGAACACAAGAAAACUUCAGAGUGAACCUGAAAAGGUGCACUGCGAAGUUUUGCUCUUUAAAAAUCUGGAUCAAGCUGAAAAUUGAAACGACACACAGCUCAUGUGUGUUCGAGUCUCUCAAAUUUUCGCAAGUCGAUGAUGAAUCGAAAGAAACAUCUUCGGGUUGUGA